rnacentral:rRNA from 1 species
UACAGAGGUGGCAAGCGUUGUUCGGAAUUACUGGGCGUAAAGGGCGCGUAGGCGGCCUUCUAAGUCAGACGUGAAAUCCCCCGGCUUAACCUGGGAACUGCGUCUGAUACUGGAGGGCUUGAGUGCGGGAGAGGGAUGCAGAAUUCCAGGUGUAGCGGUGAAAUGCGUAGAUAUCUGGAGGAAUACCGGUGGCGAAGGCGGCAUCCUGGACCGGCAUUGACGCUGAGGAGCGAAAGCCAGGGGAGCAAACGGG